rnacentral:rRNA from 1 species
AUUGAACGCUGGCGGCAUGCUUUACACAUGCCAGUCGAACGGCAGCGCGGGCUUCGGCCUGGCGGCGAGUGGCGAACGGGUGAGUAAUGCAUCGGAACGUGCCCAGUAGUGGGGGAUAGCCCGGCGAAAGCCGGAUUAAUACCGCAUACGACCUGAGGGUGAAAGCGGGGGACCGAAAGGCCUCGCGCUAUUGGAGCGGCCGAUGUCGGAUUAGCUAGUUGGUGGGGUAAAGGCUUACCAAGGCGACGAUCCGUAGCUGGUCUGAGAGGACGACCAGCCACACUGGGACUGAGACACGGCCCAGACUCCUACGGGAGGCAGCAGUGGGGAAUUUUGGACAAUGGGGGCAAACCUGAUCCAGCCAUGCCGCGUGCGGGAAGAAGGCCUUCGGGUUGUAAACCGCUUUUGUUCGGGAAGAAAUCCUCUGGGCUAAUACCCCGGGGGGAUGACGGUACCGGAAGAAUAAGCACCGGCUAACUACGUG